UACUGUUGGUGUGGCCAUGCCCACUAGCUCGUCUCCCAAUAAGAAACGCAGCGCCAUUACUCUCUUACUCCUUCCCCUUUUUCUUCACUCAUUCCCUUUGACUCCCAUUAUUCUACCCAUUUCCAACCCCAAAUGAACCUCUGAUUCCUCUUCCUCCUCCAAAACCAAGCUGAUUAUGGAUGAUUAUGAAGCUACAAGAAUCGUGUUCUCAAGGGUUCAAAAUCUCGACCCUGAAAAUGCCUCGAAAAUCAUGGGCCUCCUCCUCCUUCAAGAUCAUGGCGAAAAAGAAAUGAUCCGAUUAGCUUUUGGCCCUGAAUCUCUAAUCCAUUCUUUGAUUCUCAAGGCCAAAACAGAGCUGAACUUGAACCCAUCUUCUUGUUCUUCAAGGCCCAGAAUCAAUCUCCCACCUCUUUCGAUUCCAAUCCCAAAUCCAAACUUUUCAAAUCACCCAGAUGGAGGAGCUGAUUUUGUUGAUGAGUUUCAGAUUCAAGAUCACCUCUGUUUCCUCACCGACGGCUCUGUAAAUGAAAGCCCAGAUUUCUUUUACACUAAUCCGGCGGAUUUCCCAGCCAGUCCGACCGACGGCGAUGUGCUCUACGGCGGGGGUAAUUGGGCUGAGGAAGCAGGGUUGGGGCUUGGAUGGCGGCCGUGUUUGUAUUAUGCGAAAGGGUUUUGUAAGAAUGGAAGUGGGUGUAGGUUUUUUCACUCCGGCGGCGGUGAGGUGAGUUUGAUGGCUGAUGGCGGCGGUGGAAGGGCGGAAAUGGUGGACCACUGUUCUGAUGGUCUUCUUCUCCGGUCGAAAUCGGGUUUGCAGCAGAGAUUGGGAAUGGGUUGUUCUGCUAAUAGUAACGGUAACUUUUUUCCAUAUUCGCCGACGGCGGCGUCUGAUUUGCUUCUUCAACAACAGCAAAAUGAAAUGCGAAGAGCGGCGGUGGGGUUAUCCAUGGAGGAGGAAUCAGGCAACACAGGGAGAUUCCGGCUGGAAAGAACGGAUUUUUGCGGCGGAGGAAUGGGGAAUCCGGCAGCCAGACAAAUAUAUUUGACAUUUCCAGCAGACAGCAGUUUCAAAGAGGAGGAUGUGUCCAAAUAUUUCAGCAUUUAUGGACCAGUUCACGACGUAAGAAUCCCAUAUCAGCAGAAGAGGAUGUUUGGCUUUGUGACUUUCGUGUACGCAGAUACGGUUAAGCUUAUCCUGGCUAAGGGCAACCCUCACUUUGUCUGUGAUUCUCGUGUUCUUGUUAAGCCUUAUAAGGAGAAGGGCAAAGUCCCCGACAAGUUCAGGAAACAACAACAAAUGGAUAGGGGAGAUUUCUCUUCACCAACUGGUCUUGAUUCUAGAGACCUUCACGAUCUCCAUCUCGGAGCAAGAAUGUUUUACAACACUCAAGACAUGCUAUGGAGGAGGAAACUAGAGGAACAAGCUCUUGAGCUUCAAGCUUUAAGAGUAAUGAGUUUGCAACUUUCUGAUGUUAAAAAGCCUCACCAUCAGCAAACUCCUCUUCCAAUUUGCAGCCCAAUUCCUUCCCCUACUAACUCUCCUAAUCCCUUCAAUCAAGCCCUUCUUUUCCAUUCAAUUCCAACAAGCUCACAACUCCUCCAAGAGAACGGCUCGAACCACUUGCCCGAGGUUCACCUUGAGCCACGAGUGAUGAUCAAUUCAAAUUCGACAGCUGAUAGUGAUAGUAGCAAUGACAAGGAAACCGACUUGCAAGAAACUAGGUACUAUAAGGUUCUAUCUAGUGGUUGUUGAUGAUCGUUUUAUGUUUUUUGAUUCGACCGUUGAUGUGUUUCGUUGUCUUUUUAAGCACUUUUGAACACGUUUUCAAAAUUUGAGCUUAAAAACUAAAAAAAAACUGAAAUCCCACGGCUGGAGAGAGGAAUGAGUGCUAGCUAGGAUGCUGGGCCCCGAAGUUUGGAGCAUAAUCUCCCUGACAGUCCCUUCGCCACGGCAUCGUACACGCCAAGUGGCAUCGAGGUCGACGAAUCAGAUGCGUCAACCGACAAUCAUUCUGCAGCUUCAUCCUUCGCUUCGACACCAAACCUCGGCGCACCCUUCAAAUCCUUCAACUGCCAGUACCCUUCUGGCCAUGGAGCCAUCGGGUUGUAUGCAAGCACGGGCGGACCGACAUGUCGAGUCGGGAUUUAGCUGAUCAUAAAUUUCAAGAAGUGUCUUAAGAGAGCCCACAGUACGAAGGAUCUAAGAAUUACCACAGGAAUAGCAUUUAAAAUAACAGUAAAAAGAGACAGAGACAUUGAUUGACAUGAAGUUUUGACUGUUUGGGCACUGUAAUUCUCUUACCAAUGUAAAUUAUUAAUCUUACAAGGUGAAUUCAUAAGCCAACAUGGUCAAAAUUCAGUCAUCUUUGUAUAUGAGAAGUGUUAAUGAUAAAAUUGGAUGAUCUUAGAAAUAUUGGUAAAUUUGAUAUUA